GACGAACGCUGGCGGCGUGCUUAACACAUGCAAGUCGAACGGAAAGGCCCUGCUUUUGUGGGGUGCUCGAGUGGCGAACGGGUGAGUAACACGUGAGUAACCUGCCCUUGACUUUGGGAUAACUUCAGGAAACUGGGGCUAAUACCGGAUAGGAGCUCCUGCUGCAUGGUGGGGGUUGGAAAGUUUCGGCGGUUGGGGAUGGACUCGCGGCUUAUCAGCUUGUUGGUGGGGUAGUGGCUUACCAAGGCUUUGACGGGUAGCCGGCCUGAGAGGGUGACCGGCCACAUUGGGACUGAGAUACGGCCCAGACUCCUACGGGAGGCAGCAGUGGGGAAUAUUGCACAAUGGGCGGAAGCCUGAUGCAGCAACGCCGCGUGCGGGAUGACGGCCUUCGGGUUGUAAACCGCUUUCGCCUGUGACGAAGCGUGAGUGACGGUAAUGGGUAAAGAAGCGCCGGCUAACUACGUGC
rnacentral:rRNA from 1 species